rnacentral:lncRNA from 1 species
UUCUGAAACGGCAGCGGAGAGAGGAGGCGUGAAGAGUUUGAGGUGGUGAUGAAGUUUUGUCAAAGCAAAGCCCUCGCAUCAUCGCAGUGCUCAUCCUCUUGUCCGGUUACGUUUUAAAACUCCUGAAGCAGGUUCGAUUGUUGUGACUCUCUCUCUCAUCAUCUGUGUUUUCUUAAUUUCGGGUAUUGAUUUUUAGGGUUUUCAGAUCUGUUUAUCCAUGUCAAUUAUGAUUCCUUUUUUUUUUUGGAAAGCCAAUGUCAGGAUUACCCAGGUGAAGUUUGGAUUGUUCUUUUAAGAUGUAUCCUCGGAUUUGAUUAGUGAAUCACGUGUUCUGUUCUGAGACUUUCAUUUGAUUCUUAAGAUGGCAAAGGAAGCUAGCGGUGGUGGUGGAGGUGAAGCCGAGCAAGAAGAAGAAGAGAGGUGGAGAAAGAGAGACGACAAAGACACAAAAGGAAGAACAGGAUGCGGCG